rnacentral:rRNA from 1 species
AGUGAACGCUGGCGGUAGGCCUAACACAUGCAAGUCGAACGGCAGCACAGUAAGCGCUUGCUCUUACGGGUGGCGAGUGGCGGACGGGUGAGGAAUACAUCGGAAUCUACUUUUUCGUGGGGGAUAACGUAGGGAAACUUACGCUAAUACCGCAUACGACCUACGGGUGAAAGCAGGGGAUCUUCGGACCUUGCGCGAUUGAAUGAGCCGAUGUCGGAUUAGCUAGUUGGCGGGGUAAAGGCCCACCAAGGCGACGAUCCGUAACUGGUCUGAGAGGAUGAUCGGCCACACUGGAACUGAGACACGGGCCAGACCCCUACGGGAGGCAGCAGGAGGGAAAUUUCGGCAAUGGGCGAAAGCCUUAACGAGCCACGCCGCGUGGGGGAAAAAGGGCUUCGGGUUUUAAAACCCUUUUUUUUGGGAAAAAAAAAUGUGAAAUUAACUCCCCGCUUUUUGACGGUACCCAAAAAGAAAGCCACGGCUAACUACGUG